rnacentral:rRNA from 1 species
AACGAACGCUGGCGGCAGGCCUAACACAUGCAAGUCGAACGCCCUAGCAAUAGGGAGUGGCAGACGGGUGAGUAACACGUGGGAACCUUCCCUAUAGUACGGAAUAGCCCAGGGAAACUUGGAGUAAUACCGUAUACGCCCGAGAGGGGAAAGAUUUAUCGCUAUAGGAUGGGCCCGCGUAGGAUUAGCUAGUUGGUGAGGUAAUGGCUCACCAAGGCGACGAUCCUUAGCUGGUCUGAGAGGACGACCAGCCACACUGGGACUGAGACACGGCCCAGACUCCUACGGGAGGCAGCAGUGGGGAAUAUUGGACAAUGGGCGCAAGCCUGAUCCAGCCAUGCCGCGUGAGUGAUGAAGGACUUAGGGUUGUAAAGCUCUUUUAUCGGGGACGAUAAUGACGGUACCCGAAGAAUAAGUCCCGGCUAACUUCGUGCCAGCCGCCGCGGUAA